rnacentral:rRNA from 1 species
CCUACGGGUGGCAGCAGUGAGGAAUAUUGGUCAAUGGACGAGAGUCUGAACCAGCCAAGUAGCGUGAAGGCUGACUGCCCUAUGGGUUGUAAACUUCUUUUAUAUGGGAAUAAAACGUUCCACGUGUGGGAUUUUGUAUGUACCAUAUGAAUAAGGAUCGGCUAACUCCGUGCCAGCAGCCGCGGUAAUACGGAGGAUCCGAGCGUUAUCCGGAUUUAUUGGGUUUAAAGGGAGCGUAGGGGGAUUGUUAAGUCAGUUGUGAAAGUUUGCGGCUCAACCGUAAAAUGGCAGUUGAAACUGGCAGUCUUGAGUACAGUAGAGGUGGGCGGAAUUCGUGGUGUAGCGGUGAAAUGCUUAGAUAUCACGAAGAACUCCGAUUGCGAAGGCAGUUCACUGGACUGCAACUGACACUGAGGCUCGAAAGUGUGGGUAUCAAACAGGAUUAGAUACCCUUGUAGUC